GGUUAAGCUACUAAGAGCACACGGAGGAUGCCUAGGCGCUAGGAGCCGAUGAAGGACGUGGCGAACAACGAUACUGCCUCGGGGAGCUGUAAGCAAGCUUUGAUCCGGGGAUGUCCGAAUGGGGAAACCCAGCUGGGGUAAUAUCCAGUUACUCAUAACUGAAUACAUAGGUUAUGUAGAGGCAUACCAGGGGAACUGAAACAUCUAAGUACCUUGAGGAAGAGAAAACAAUAGUGAUUCCGUCAGUAGCGGCGAGCGAACGCGGAACAGCCCAAACCAGAGAGCUUGCUCUCUGGGGUUGUGGGACGUCUCACAUGGAGUUACAAAGGAGCCGGUUAAACGAAGAGGUCUGGAAAGGCCCGCCAAAGAAGGUAAAAGCCCUGUAAUUGAAAGUCUGCUCUCUCCGAGACGGAUCCCGAG
rnacentral:rRNA from 1 species